AUAACCAGUAUACUGCCUUAAUUAUCUCCUACUUAAGUUAAAUCUAAAAUUAUCAAUUAUGAAGGAACUACACGUGGGUCUUUCAAAAUGAGUUAUCACUUUUUAC